rnacentral:sRNA from 1 species
UGGGAGUUGCCAAUUUCAGAAGAAGUCUAUCUCCAUUACAUGGAGAGGUGGAAGCUCUCCUCUGGGCGAUGAAGUGUAUGCUUGUUGUCGACAACCAAGAUGUAAUAUCUUUCAAACUAUAUAUCUAUCAAACCAUUGAAAUGCUAUCAUUACCUAUAAUUCCAAUCGAAUCAAGCUCAUUA